CCUACGGUAUCAGCAGUGGGGAAUAUUGGACAAUGGGCGAAAGCCUGAUCCAGCCAUGCCGCGUGUGUGAAGAAGGCCUUCGGGUUGUAAAGCACUUUCAGUGGGGAAGAAAGCCUUGGGGCUAAUACCCUCGAGGAAGGACAUCACCCACAGAAGAAGCACCGGCUAACUCCGUGCCAGCAGCCGCGGUAAUACGGAGGGUGCGAGCGUUAAUCGGAAUUACUGGGCGUAAAGCGCGCGUAGGCGGUCUGAUAAGCCGGUUGUGAAAGCCCCGGGCUCAACCUGGGAACGGCAUCCGGAACUGUCAGGCUAGAGUGCAGGAGAGGAAGGUAGAAUUCCCGGUGUAGCGGUGAAAUGCGUAGAGAUCGGGAGGAAUACCAGUGGCGAAGGCGGCCUUCUGGACUGACACUGACGCUGAGGUGCGAAAGCGUGGGUAGCAAACAGGAUUAGAUACCCGUGUAGUC
rnacentral:rRNA from 1 species